rnacentral:rRNA from 1 species
GAUGAACGCUAGCUACAGGCUUAACACAUGCAAGUCGCGGGGCAGCAUGGGGGUUGCUUGCAAUCCCCGAUGGCGACCGGCGCACGGGUGAGUAACGCGUAUCCAACCUGCCCUUCACCACGGGAUAACCCGGCGAAAGUCGGACUAAUACCGUAUGUUGUCCAUUGACGGCAUCCGAUUUGGGCGCAAGGUGUGGCGGGGAAGGAGGGGGAUGCGUCCGAUUAGCUGGACGGCGGGGGGACGGCCCACCGUGGCGACGAUCGGUAGGGGUUCUGAGAGGAAGGUCCCCCACACUGGAACUGAGACACGGUCCAGACUCCUACGGGAGGCAGCAGUGAGGAAUAGUGGUCAAUGGGCGUAAGCCUGAACCAGCCAAGUAGCGUGCAGGAUGACGGCCCUAUGGGUUGUAAACUGCUUUUAUGCGGGGAUAAAGUGGCCCACGUGUGGGUUUUUGCAGGUACCGCAUGAAUAAGGACCGGCUAAUUCCGUG